UAAACUAUAAGAUAAGUAAGCCUCUCCAGACCAUACAAGUGCGCGUCGAGCCCAUGCGAAGGGUUUGGUUAAGAUAUGCCAGAUUCCACCAAGUAUACAAAUGGAACCUAACCAUACAUGUCCUCCGAUUAUAUCUUCNUACUAGGAUAAGCGGCAUUAUUGAACCAGACAAAACAACAAGCAAUGAAACCAAAGACGGCUAAAGCCACUAAACUAUAAGAUAAGUAAGCCUCUCCAGACCAUACAAGUGCGCGUCGAGCCCAUGCGAAGGGUUUGGUUAAGAUAUGCCAGAUUCCACCAAGUAUACAAAUGGAACCUAACCAUACAUGUCCUCCGAUUAUAUCUUCUAAAUCGUCCACACUAACAAUCCACCCUUCCCCUCCAAAAGGUGAUUUUAGUAAAUAACCAAAUAUGAUACUCGGGCUAAGGGUCAAGUUGGUAAUUUUUCUUACAUCUCCCCCUCCCGGAGCCCAGGUAUCAUAUACGCCCCCAAAAUAAAGAGCCUUGAAUACUANUUAUCUUCUAAAUCAUCCAUACUAACAAUCCACCCUUCCCCUCCAAAAGGUGAUUUUAGUAAAUAACCAAAUAUG
rnacentral:lncRNA from 1 species